rfam:Hordeum vulgare subsp. vulgare, WGS project CAJW01000000 data, contig: morex_contig_54012
AAAACUAUUUAUAUUUAAAAACGGAGGAAGUAUUUGUUUUUGUCAAUUUAAUAUCUGAUAUGCAGUCCGUGUGCCUACAACGAUAUUAAUUUUUUGUUACGAAGAAGGGUCCAUCACAGUGGCUUGCCAUUGGAUCUUUCAGGUGUUGCCCAGGCGUUGCCUUACAGCUUGGGCUAGCGCACCCCAA